GAUGAACGCUGGCGGCGUGCCUAAUACAUGCAAGUCGAACGAAGAUCUAGCUUGCUAGAUCUUAGUGGCGAACGGGUGAGUAAUACAUAAAUAAUCUGCCCAUAUGACUGGGAUAACUAUUGGAAACGAUAGCUAAUACCGGAUAGGUUGAUCGGAGGCAUCUCUGAUGAAUUAAAGUAGGAUUUCUACACAAAUGGAUGAGUUUAUGGCGCAUUAGUUAGUUGGUGGGGUAACGGCCUACCAAGACGAUGAUGCGUAGCCGACCUGAGAGGGUGACCGGGCACACUAGGACUGAGACACGGCCCAGACUCCUACGGGAGGCAGCAGUAGUGAAUGUUCGUCAAUGGGCGCAAGCCUGACCGAGCAACGCCGCGUGAGUGAGUAAGGCCUUCGGGUUGUAAAGCUCUGUUGUAAGGGAAGAACAUUCAGGAUAGGAAAUGAUCUUGAACUGACGGUACCUUACCAGAAAGCCACGGCUAACUACGUGCCAGCCGCCGCGGUAA
rnacentral:rRNA from 1 species